rnacentral:rRNA from 2 species
GAUAAGCGCCGGUAAGGUGAUAUGAACCGUUAUAACCGGCGAUACCCGAAUGGGGAAACCCAGUGUGAUUCGUCACACUAUCAUUAACUGAAUCCAUAGGUUAAUGAGGCGAACCGGGGGAACUGAAACAUCUAAGUACCCCGAGGAAAAGAAAUCAACCGAGAUUCCCCCAGUAGCGGCGAGCGAACGGGGAGGAGCCCAGAGCCUGAAUCAGCAUGUGUGUUAGUGGAAGCGUCUGGAAAGGCGCGCGAUACAGGGUGACAGCCCCGUACACAAAAGCGCAUGUGCUGUGAGCUCGAUGAGUAGGGCGGGACACGUGGUAUCCUGUCUGAAUAUGGGGGGACCAUCCUCCAAGGCUAAAUACUCCUGACUGACCGAUAGUGAACCAGUACCGUGAGGGAAAGGCGAAAAGAACCCCGGCGAGGGGAGUGAAAAAGAACCUGAAACCG